GCUUAUCCUGUUAUCCUCUUGAGCAUCUAUCAGGAUUAAAACUGGAGAGGUGGGGAGAGUUUGCAAAUUAGAGACUUUUUAGAAGAGAGAGCAGUGUGCGUGCUUCAUCUCAUCUAUCCCCUCUACCACCACCCCACCAACACACGGAGGACACGCAUGAACCCUAAGGAAGAGUGUAGGAUGCUUGCUUCUCAAGUCAAGUGAAAGUAGCUCCACUGGGGCCACUCAGAAAACUGGUUGUGUGUGUCCUGAGCUGGGGACACCGUGGUGUAGAAUCUGAUUCAUGCCUGAGGCAUCUACAGGACAGAAGCCACAGCAGCCUCCAGCAGAGAGUAGAUGCGGUGGUUGGGAAGAAACUGCCCCCCAUCGACAGCAGAUCUAAGAAAUCUGUUUUUCCUGGGACCAGAACAUGAACCCAGUGAACGUG
rnacentral:lncRNA from 1 species